GUUGAGGGCGGGGGAGGGGAGCUGGGAUGGGGGUGGGCUGCCGGGACCCCCUGCCCCCGCAGUCAGGACCUGCGAUCCACCCCGAGCCCGUGUGCGGACGCUGCCCCUUCCCGGCCUCCUCCGGCACCUUCCCGUCGGGCCGCCCCCAGCCUCCGGGCCCAAACUCCAGCUCCCGGUGCGGAUAGCGCGCUGUCCAAGACAACAGAUGCUCACCAAUCAUGUUCAUGCGGAAUGCCCAGCUCAGAACUGGCGUACAAGCGUCACGAGUGGAAACCAGUCCCUGCUGCCCCUAGAGCUGACAGUCCAGCGGGGAGACCGCUCAGCAAAGGGGGGCUUGCCGUGCAGUGAGAGGCAAACGACCAGGGGGAUGGAGGAAAGGCCAAGCACUCCCCCACAGGUGUGGACUCAGGAGAAUUGAUAGCAGGCGCUCUCACAAACAGGCGGGCGUGGAUGUUCCUGGUAUUGCCAUCACAGCCGCCCAAGAGCGGGACAGCCCUCAGGCUCUCCAGCGGGUACACGGUUUUAACAGCUGUGCUCCAUCCCCACAGCAGGAUGCCGCUCGGCCGUGGGAGGAAUGGAGCCCUGACACGACGUCCGACGAUGCUGUGAUGGGGGUGAGCUCAAGAACACGCUGAGAGAGGCCAGACGCAAAAGACCACCACCGUGUGAUUCCACACGUGUGAGACGUCUGGACAGGGAAUCUCGGAAACAGAGAGCAGACUGGUGGUUCCCAGGGGAUGUGGGGGAGGGGAGUGAGUGCUUGGCGGGCCAGGGGUGUCCUUUUGGGCAUGAAAAUGUUCUGGAACUAGAUAGUGGGGAUGGUUGCACAACAUUGUGAAUGUACUAAAUGCCACUGAAUUGUUCUCUUAAAAAUGGUUACAAUGGCAAAUUUUCUGUUCUGUGUAUUUUACCACAAUAAGAGUAAUAAUAAAGCCCUGAAAUCUCA